UUGGAGGGCAAGUCUGGUGCCAGCAGCCGCGGUAAUUCCAGCUCCAAUAGCGUAUAUUAAAGUUGUUGCAGUUAAAAAGCUCGUAGUUGAAUUUCGGGGUCAGUAGGUUGGUCAUGCCACAGGUAUGUACUGGUCUCACUGAUUCCUCCUUCCUGAUGAACUGUAAUGCCAUUAAUUUGGUGUUGCAGGAAAUCUGGACUGUUACUUUGAAAAAAUUAGAGUGUUUAAAGCAGACUAACGCCUGAAUACAUUAGCAUGGAAUAAUGAAAUAGGACGUUCGAUCCUAUUUUGUUGGUUUCUAGGAUUGACGUAAUGAUUAAUAGGGAUAGUUGGGGGCAUUAGUAUUCAAUUGUCAGAGGUAAAAUUCUUGGAUUUAUUGAAGACUAACUACUGCGAAAGCAUUUGCCAAGGAUGUUUUCAUUAAUCAAGAACGAAAGUUAGGGGAUCGAAGACGAUCAGAUACCGUCGUAGUCUUAACCAUAAACUAUGCCGACUAGGGAUCGGAUGAUGUUAAUUUUUUAAUGACUCAUUCGGCGCCUUACGGGAAAC
rnacentral:rRNA from 1 species